rnacentral:lncRNA from 1 species
AUGAAAAUUUUCAGCAAAUUUUUGAUGGGGAUACGGUUUCCAUAACGUAUGAUGGAGUGUCUGCCAGUUUGGAUGCUGAAAAUGCAGGGCGCACACCAUGUGAAGAAAGAAAUGAAAAUUUUCAGCAAAUUUUUGAUGGGGAUACGGUUUCCAUAACGUAUGAUGGAUUGUCUGCCAG